GAGAGCGAGAAGUUUUCUUUUUUAAAAGCAGAUCAUUAGAUGAUGGACCUCAGUUGACUUUCAAGUUGUUGUCAUUUUUAAACAAUGUAAAGCGUGUCAAACCGCCGCCAUGUUAAAAUCUUUAACUUGACAGGCGUCUUUUAACUACUAUUUGAAGAAUUAGUAGAGCAGACAAAAAAACGCAUUACUGUCUUUGUCGAGGCGAGACAAUAGACACUAAAAUACGUCACGACUUUCCUUUCUGGUAAGAGCAUGAAUACACGUUAAGUUAGAAAUGGAUGAUUCAUGAGUGGAUUUCAAUUGUCAUAACUUGAGUACCACGUGCUGCAGCAGACACGAAUAGACGGGCCACACCCUUUAUUUCCUUCUGUGUUGCUAUCAGAGUCAUAAUUCCAUUGCGCGGUGCUAUAAAUCCAUCACAUGCAGUGAGUAACACCGAGUGGGAUGAGUGACCGGGCUGCCACUAGUUGACACUUUGGGCAGGCAGUUCCUUGGCUGCAACUUAUGUACAGGGUGUUCCAAGCCCCGCCCCCGAUCCCCUAAAAAAGAAAAUAAAAUAGGGCAAAAAUAGAAAAUGGGAAUGUGCAACUUCAGAUAUUGCCCAAUAAUAUCACUUUGACAAAAAAAAAAAAAAAAAAAAAAGAAUAUAAAAUAACAUAAAGGCAAAUUCUGCCACAAGAACUGGUCUUGAAUGACUGUUCUUUGUUUACUUUGCACAAGACUCUGGCAUGCAAAGAGGGCUUGACUUCCUUGGUAUUGAUCUUAUCACUUUAUCAGCUGUCGCAAAAGAACAUGAAUAACCGUAGGGCGCGUUAUCAGCUCUCAGAUAAAAUCUGAGGAUCAAAAUGAUACUUUGAUCUCCGUUGGGUAAUUUUCACAUCAGAAAACAGAAAGUGCGUCAGUGAAUUGACAGACAGGAUGUUACUCUGAUUUCUAGAACAUGCAGCAGGAUGCCCCUAAAGGCUGAAGAAUUUGGACGCAAGUGUUCCAUGCAAAUCUGGCUUCUCGGAACGAUCUGAGCAAUGUUAUUGAAGGAAAAAAAAAUAUACAUCACAAAGUCCGCUAUGCCGAGAUUGAAGAGCAGAGACUUAAUUUGACUCAAGUUGCCGUACGUUGUACAAUUGUAUGCAGGUUGUGUAAUAGAUCAUGUCAAGUUUCUCUCUCCCAACUAAAAGCUACGCCUCAGAAGGUGAGUAGUUUUAUUUUGUCUGCAUUAUGCAGUCAGUGACGUCUCCACAAGUAUUUUUCUACGACAAUAAUGUUAAACUACCAGUUAAAAAACAUUGUAUCGUUAUGUUGUAUGAUGGUGACAGUUGAAUGAAGCCAAGUGUUAGCCUAAUGUUAUUAUUUGCUAUAGGAAAGAUUGCCUUGAAAGAAAUUAAAAAAAAAA